AUUGAACGCUGGCGGCAGGCUUAACACAUGCAAGUCGAGCGGGGAAAUGUAGCUUGCUACAUUACCUAGCGGCGGACGGGUGAGUAAUGCUUAGGAAUCUGCCUAUUAGUGGGGGACAACAUCUCGAAAGGGAUGCUAAUACCGCAUACGUCCUACGGGAGAAAGCAGGGGACCUUCGGGCCUUGCGCUAAUAGAUGAGCCUAAGUCGGAUUAGCUAGUUGGUGGGGUAAAGGCCUACCAAGGCGACGAUCUGUAGCGGGUCUGAGAGGAUGAUCCGCCACACUGGGACUGAGACACGGCCCAGACUCCUACGGGAGGCAGCAGUGGGGAAUAUUGGACAAUGGGGGGAACCCUGAUCCAGCCAUGCCGCGUGUGUGAAGAAGGCCUUUUGGUUGUAAAGCACUUUAAGCGAGGAGGAGGCUACCGAGAUUAAUACUCUUGGAUAGUGGACGUUACUCGCAGAAUAAGCACCGGCUAACUCUGUGCCAGCCGCCGCAGUAACAC
rnacentral:rRNA from 1 species